ensembl:lncRNA
CACCCUUCUGGCAAAUGCCUGCUGUGGUAUGAGACCCAGUCAUCUGGCAGCACAUUGCUUACUGCAGUCUCCACGGCAACCCUCCAUGCUGUUCUUCUUUGGAAGCUCUGCACAUUCGUAAAGAAGCUGUCAUCCCUCUUACUCCAACAGUGCUUGCACAAAGAGACUGGGCUGCCAUGAGGAUGACAGAAGACCUCUUCUGAGGCACAGCCUUGCAGUGCUGACAUCUGCCACAAAAAGAACUCGUUUUGGAAGGCUGGUCCUGAGGGUCAUCAACAUACAGCAAGAGACUCUCCUCUUCUUGGAGGAAGCCCAAGCCGCCAUCUCAGAAGAGUGGCUGAACCAUAUAACAGCUGAAGCUAAAACAAGGAGAUGAGACCUAUGCUGCCCAGUGCACCCAUGUUCUGAGGAGCCCCAGUCCAGGAGCAUCAGCUAGGUUGGAGCUGCUGAUCACAGAAACUGAGGAGGACCAAUGUAUUUGGUAGUGCAGUGAGCCUACAGCCAUCCAAAGCAAGCUGGAGAAUGCAUGCUGGGGAAACAAAUCAGCAAGCAGGCAGUGGCAUGUGAAGAGAGUCCCUCUGCUGGCACAGAAGUGAUUGCAGAGCAAUAAUACAAAUCACAAUACCAGUAUGUGUAAAG